UACAGAGGGGGCAAGCGUUAUUCGGAAUUAUUGGGCGUAAAGGGCGCGUAGGCGGCUUUGCAAGUGGCGGGUGAAAUCCCUCGGCUUAACCGAGGAACUGCCUGCCAGACUGUGAGGCUUGAGACCGGGAGAGGUGAGUGGAAUUCCCAAUGUAGCGGUGAAAUGCGUAGAUAUUGGGAGGAACACCAGUGGCGAAGGCGGCUCACUGGACCGGAACUGACGCUGAGGCACGAAAGUGUGGGGAUCAAACAGG
rnacentral:rRNA from 1 species